rnacentral:rRNA from 1 species
AUACGGAGGAUCCGAGCGUUAUCCGGAUUUAUUGGGUUUAAAGGGAGCGUAGGCGGAUGUUUAAGUCGGUUGUGAAAGUUUAAGGCUCAACCUGGGAACUGCAUUUGAAACUGGACGACUUGAGUGCAGGAGAGGAAAGUGGAAUUCCUAGUGUAGCGGUGAAAUGCGUAGAUAUUAGGAGGAACACCAGUGGCGAAGGCGACUUUCUGGACUGUAACUGACGCUGAGGCACGAAAGCGUGGGGAGCGAACAGGAUUAGAUACCCUGGUAGUCCACGCUGUAAACGAUGAAUGCUAGGUGUGGGGUGUCAAAGCUCCGUGCCGCAGUUAACACAAUAAGCAUUCCGCCUGGGGAGUACGGCCGCAAGGUUGA